GUAGUUUCUUGGUAUUUACUCACAGCAAGUGUGCCUCUCAAGGUUGCAUUUUCUUGAUCUUUCAGAUCUCUAGAUAAUCCAUUAUCUUUCUUUAUUACAGCAGCAGAAUCAGCAGAUGGCAUUGCCAUAUUUGAACGGGAUCUUUUGAUUCGGCAUACUGGAAGGGGACCUAAAGGAGCCAAAGCAGGUUCUAUUUCCCAAGGGGAAACCCUCUCUGGACGAUGAAGAGGAGAAGUUUCAUCCCAACGUACCUUGAGGCAUCUCCACUUUGAAGCAGGCCACCUCUCGGGAUCAGUAUUUUCAACCCCAAUCACUGUACCUGAAAACCUC
rnacentral:misc_RNA from 1 species